UGCAAGAAUGUCUGGAUGUGUAAAGUGUCUGUACGAGACUGAGUCAUCUCUGAUGGGAUUUCUCAGGGCUAUUGCUGUAAAAACCGCUUGUGAUAAGAACAUCUCCCUGCUAACGUGUUUUGCAACCCUGGCAUGUCCUAUUUGAGGCACCUCCCUCCCUGGCGAUGGUCACAACUCAUCACAGACCACAGCGGGGAGCUCCAUCGUGGCCUGGUCCAAAGCACUGGUCUGGCAGAUGUGUUGUCCUAAUGCUUCCUGCUCCCGGAUGUAGUGAGCUUCCCACACCCUCUGCAAGAGGUGAUUGUGUAACUAAUAGAUGCUGGCAGAACAACGUCUUCACCUGGAUUAUUAAUAUUGCUAAACAUAAAUGCAGGACAAAGGCAGAUGUCUAUUUCUGUUUAUCAAGCAGACCUUCACUUUGCUGGAUCCCAAGGGAUAUAAGGACAAGUUCAACUUGGGUCGCCCUUCUCAGUUUCCUUAACUGAUGUGUAACUUACAGCUGGAUGCAUCAUAACAGUAGAUGAGACGAAGCCACAGCCGCGCUGGGGACCAAGGGGAGGCUGCAACCAGCUCAAGAACAGAGUUUUUGGCUCCCAGGCUGGGAAAGCUGCUCCGAAGCGUAUCCAGCAAGUUGUGUGUGUCUGUGGCAGAGCUGGAAACCAACUGAUGCUUCCUGAUAUAGGGCUGGACGUGUUGAAGUUAGUGGUAAAGCUUCUGUUAGUUGCAAGACUGGCGCUUAAAGGAGAAUGAUUUUCUAUUUAUUUUUUUAACUAUUAUUGUUUUUCCUUCCCUUGCCGGAACCACCUCUGACUUACAGUGGGUCUAAAUGCAGAGAAUUGCGACCAUUCUAAGAAAUACCAGAGGAUGCUCCUUCCAAAUUCGGUCUAGGCAUACAAAAGCUGAGCAGACAUCAGUUUAGGUCAAUAACGUUGUUUCCACUGAUGCUUUGCUGGAUUUCAGAUCAGUGCAUGAAGCAAGUUUACUUACGAAUUUGUAAUCACUUGUGAAAGACUGUGGUUUAACUCCAAAAUGCUGGUGAUUUGAGCCUCUGGAUCAGCAAAUACAUCUACAUAAACUGGCACAACUCUGCUCACAGUUAAGAGUAAACAAGAACCCAAAAAUUGCUGUUAUGGCCUGAAGAUAUAAUGUUUAGCUAAAACAGGGAUUCAGACCAUUAUUUUUUCAGCUGCCUCCAUAGCAAUGCAGUGUGGUAUCCACAGUAGGGAAUCUCAUGCCAGCAGCAUCUCUGAAAUAUGCUAAAACAAUCUAAAUUAGAAAAUGUCAGCUUCUUGGCUAAUGUGCCUUUGGAGUUUCUUUUUUCCUUUCUUGUGCCUCUAUAAUUUUAUUGGGAUGACUAAAUCUCUGAACUAUGUUAGCAGUAAACAGAACUAAUUUACCCCCUGCUUCUUUGAAACAGCUGCUGACAGCUGCACUAUAAUUCAAUCAUGGACCUUUGCAGUGCAGUCUGCAAAACAUAUUCAUAUUUUUCUGUGUUCUUCCCUCUCUGUUGUAUUUGGACUGAAGGAGCAGCACCAAAUAGCAAUAUUUGCCAAUUUUGCCUGUACACAGACACUGAUCUAUGUGAAAACAGAGGCUCAAGAUUAAGCAUUGCCCAACCAAAAAGGUUCUUUGAAUAUAGGGGAAAUAACCACACAGAUACACAAAGUCGUUGGGAUAUCUUUUGUAAAGUUGCAAUGAUUUAUUUUACUAGUUUGUACAAAAGGCUUCUGACAACUGCUCUAUGAAAAGAACCAGAAACAUGUAUGCAUUUUUGCCAACUGUUAAUAAAUAUCUUCUUAAAUAAGGAAACAAAUGUGUUUAGGAACUGAGACUCGUUUUUCCUGGAUGUGAUUGAAAAGGAAUUCAGAGAUGGAAAUAAAUAAUUCUUCUUCCGCUUGUGACAACUAUUUACAUAAAAAUGUACAAACAGUGAAGCUGAUGUUGAGCCUAGCAACAGAAAUCCUGUUAUUAUGUAUUUAAAAAAACCAAAACAGAAACAAUCCCCACAUAAUAUCUAAUAUAUGAAUCCUAUACAGCAAGAUACCAUGGUCCGAGUUAAAAAUGCAAUACACCAAUGCAGUGACCACCAACACUGAAACACCCACAAGAAAAACUAAUCCUUGACUACUAAAUAGUGGAAGUUUAGGCACGAUUAGCUUUGAAUUUUCUGGACAGCACCUUAACUUCCUUUAGGAGGUUUACAGAAGCACUGGUGUAUAUACAUACACAACGUCAGAAGACACGUCCAAUCUGUGUGAUUUCAGUGCCUCAAUCUCAAUAAGUGAUGCACUGAAGGCAGUUUGGGCUGUUUAUUGUAGGUGGCCUUGUCUGCAGGCUCCAGGGAGAGAUGGUCCUUUGGCUUCAGCUCUUCUCCUGCCGCUUGGCCGCCUGUAACUCUUUGGGCAAGCUCUCACCUCGGGGCAGUUGGAUGUUUGCUGCAGUCGCGCUUGCAGAGCAUCUGCAUCACAGCCAGGCUGGUCCUGCAGAUGUUUGAGUUGCCUGGGGUGGAAGCGGGCACAGCUGGCCAUGUGGCAACUGCUCACCAAGGCGCUGGUCCAAACCCUACCGAUGGCACGGACAGACUUCUACUUUCUCAUAAGCCUAAUCCUGCUACUGAGAAAACUGCUGGGAAAACACCAAUUGACUUAAAUGAGAUUAGAAUUAGACCAUCAGAAACAAGCUUCCAAUUCAUUAUUUCAUGGACAGUAGUUUUUUUUUCUUUUUAAAGCAAGGGAUGUGGUCUGGAUUUGAUCUGCGACUUAAAGGAAGAAGAGCAGUGCCCGACUUCCAGAAUGGGGCAGUCGUGUUCAUUUACCUUUCUCUAACUCCCCUGUGAGGCAGGACAUGGAGCAGUUCCCACUGCGGCUGCAGCGCCCUGUCCACUCACUGCACAGAGAGAACCAUCUCCAGGGGUUUAUCGUGUUCUGGGCCCAUCUGAGGGAGGUUUAGGUUUUUGAAUUUUGGAAUUUUGGAGAUUGAGAGCUGGGUGUGCUGAGGAACUGCUGUUUUAUCGGACAGAAUUUAUGUCAAUACUACUAUUACAAUCACAGCGUAUGCCAAAGGUUUGGAUCAGUUUGUGAUUGGUUACUGCUACAUUGCAUUCUUAUUCACAACUUUAACUGAGUUUUAAUUACAUAAGUGUGAUGUUUGUGUAACUUGUGAUUUUUAAAAGAAGGGAAAAGAAAAGCCUUGAGGGGAUGCUCCUGGUUCCAGCUUGUUGCUGUGGCUCUUGAAAGGGAUUUAUUUGUUUUAUUUUUUUGUUUUAAAGGUGAAGCCAAUAACAGAGCAGGGGUUUUGCUGCAAACGCUGACUCCGGGCAGUAAGGUUUCCUAGCUGGUUUCUACCUGUCUGUGUGGUGCUUACGGCGCCUUCUGCACUUGAACCUCCACGUUUCCAUAAAAGCAUCAAACUUGUUCUGCCAGUGAAGUCAACGGACAUUUUCCAAACAGAAGCAGGAUCUUUA